ACCAUGUGAAUGUACGACCCAACAUUUGGAGGUGCAAAUGGCUCAGGGAUCCUGUUCACAGGAUGAACUUACCCGGAGGUGCUGUAUUCACAUGACAUUGGGCAGGCCUGAGGU
rfam:Triticum aestivum genome assembly, contig: Triticum_aestivum_CS42_TGACv1_scaffold_580313_7BL